GCUGGCGGCGUGCCUAAUACAUGCAAGUGGGACGCAAGGGAACACACUGUGCUUGCACACCGUGUUUUCUUGAGUCGCGAACGGGUGAGUAACGCGUAGGUAACCUGCCUAUUAGCGGGGGAUAACUAUUGGAAACGAUAGCUAAUACCGCAUAAUAUUAAUUAUUGCAUGAUAAUUGAUUGAAAGAUGCAAGCGCAUCACUAGUAGAUGGACCUGCGUUGUAUUAGCUAGUUGGUAAGGUAAGAGCUUACCAAGGCGACGAUACAUAGCCGACCUGAGAGGGUGAUCGGCCACACUGGGACUGAGACACGGCCCAGAUCUCUACGGGAGGCAGCAGUAGGGAAUCUUCGGCAAUGGACGAAGGUCUGACCGAGCAACGCCGCGUGAGUGAAGAAGGUUUUCGGAUCGUAAAGCUCUGUUGUAAGUCAAGAACGUGUGUGAGAGUGGAAAGU
rnacentral:rRNA from 1 species